UGGAUCCAGACUUUGAUUCUGGCUCAGGAUGAACGCUAGCGACAGGCUUAACACAUGCAAGUCGAGGGGCAGCGGGGAGGAAAGCUUGCUUUCCUCCGCCGGCGACCGGCGCACGGGUGAGUAACACGUAUGCAACCUGCCCUUGACAGGGGGAUAACCCGGAGAAAUCCGGACUAAUACCGCAUAACGCUGAGAAGAGACAUCUCUCCGCAGCCAAAGGAAGCGAUUCCGGUCAAGGAUGGGCAUGCGUCGCAUUAGCUGGUUGGCGGGGUAAAGGCCCACCAAGGCGACGAUGCGUAGGGGUUCUGAGAGGAAGGUCCCCCACAUUGGUACUGAGACACGGACCAAACUCCUACGGGAGGCAGCAGUGAGGAAUAUUGGUCAAUGGGCGCGAGCCUGAACCAGCCAAGUCGCGUGAGGGAAGACGGUCCUAUGGAUUGUAAACCUCUUUAGUCGGGGAGCAAGAGGCGGUACGUGUACCGUCAGCGAGAGUACCCGAAGAAUAAGCAUCGGCUAACUCCGUGCCAGCAGCCGCGGUAAUACGGAGGAUGCGAGCGUUAUCCGGAUUUAUUGGGUUUAAAGGGUGCGUAGGCGGAUUGUUAAGUCAGCGGUCAAAUAAUGGGGCUCAACCCCGUUUCGCCGUUGAAACUGGCAGUCUUGAGUGGGCGAGAAGUAUGCGGAAUGCGUGGUGUAGCGGUGAAAUGCAUAGAUAUCACGCAGAACUCCGAUUGCGAAGGCAGCAUACCGGCGCCCGACUGACGCUGAGGCACGAAAGCGUGGGGAUCGAACAGGCUUAGAUACCCUGGUAGUCCACGCAGUAAACGAUGAAUGCUAGCUGUCCGGGGCUUCGGUUCUGGGUGGCACAGCGAAAGCGUUAAGCAUUCCACCUGGGGAGUACGCCGGCAACGGUGCAACUCAAAUGAAUUGACGGA
rnacentral:rRNA from 1 species